rnacentral:misc_RNA from 1 species
CAUAUAGCCAUGCUUGCAUGUGUGGCCAGCAAGGUUUGGAGGAAGGCAACACUGGAUUAACAACUCGAAUACCAUAACAAGAUUGUCAAUAGAACAACAUAAGCAUCACUUUCGUGAAGCAACGAUAAAAGUAACAUACUAAACAAAUUCAAGAUUUCAAUUGAAUUGACAUCUUGUUUUGGAAACGAGGUGGCUUUCUAACAUCAAUAUAUGUCUAAGAAGAAAACAAAAAUAGCUGCACUAAGUGUAUCUAAUUCAUCCUUUUAGAUUAUUGUACAAGCCUAUAUACUAUGUACUUUGCAUUACAACAUGCUAUAAGCAUGAUGUAGACCCUUAUUUUGUGAUGAG